UACGUAGGGGGGCAAGCGUUGUCCGGAUUUAUUGGGCGUAAGGAGCGUGUAGGCGGCCUGAAAGGUCAGCUGUGAAAACUCGAGGCUCAACCUCGAGACGUCGGUUGAAACCAUCUGGCUAGAGUCCGGAAGAGGAGUGUGGAAUUCCCGGUGUAGCGGUGAAAUGCGCAGAUAUCGGGAAGAACACCCGUGGCGAAGGCGGCACUCUGGGACGAUACGUGACGCUGAGACGCGAAAGCGUGGGGAGCGAACGAGGA
rnacentral:rRNA from 1 species